GAUGAAGAACGCAGCGAAAUGUGAUACGUAGUGUGAAUUGCAGAAUUCAGUGAAUCAUCGAAUCUUUGAACGCACAUUGCGCCCUUUGGUAUUCCAAAGGGCAUGCCUGUUCGAGCGUCAUUUGUACCCUCAAGCUUUGCUUGGUGUUGGGCGUCUUGUCUCCAGUCCGCUGGAGACUCGCCUUAAAGUCAUUGGCAGCCGGCCUACUGGUUUCGGAGCGCAGCACAAGUCGCACUCUUUUCCAGCCAAGGUCAGUGUCCAACAAGCCUUUUUUCAACUUUUGACCUCGGAUCAGGUAGGGAUACCCGCUGAACUUAAGCAUAUCAAUAAGCGGAGGA
rnacentral:misc_RNA from 1 species